rnacentral:rRNA from 1 species
UACGAAGGGGGCAAGCGUUGUUCGGAAUUACUGGGCGUAAAGCGCGUGCAGGCGGUUUGUUAAGUUAGAUGUGAAAGCCCAAGGCUUAACCUUGGAACUGCAUUUAAAACUGGCAAGCUAGAGUAUAGGAGAGGAUAGCGGAAUUUCCAGUGUAGAGGUGAAAUUCGUAGAUAUUGGAAAGAACACCGGUGGCGAAGGCGGCUAUCUGGCCUAUAACUGACGCUGAGGCGCGAAAGUGUGGGGAGCAAACAGG